rnacentral:rRNA from 1 species
AUUGAACGCUGGCGGCAGGCCUAACACAUUCAAGUCGGGCGAGAGGCGGACGGGUGAGUAAUGUAUGGGGAUCUGCCUGAUGGAGGGGGAUAACUACAGGAAACGGUAGCUGAUACCGCAUACCAUCAGAUGAACCAAUAGGGGAUGAGCUGGUAGGUAAGGUAACGGCUUACCUAGGCGACGAUCCCUAGCUGGUCUUAGCGGAUGAACAGCCACACUGGCACUGAGACACGGCCCAGACUCCUACGGGAGGCAGCAGUGGGGAAUAUUGCACAAUGGGCGCAAGCCUGAUGCAGCCAUGCCGCGUGUAUGAAGAAGGCCUUCGGGUUGUAAAGUACUUUCAGUCGGGAGGCGUUACCGACAGAAGAAGCACCGGCUAACUCCGUGCCAGCAGCCGCGGUAAUUC